CCUGUACCAAGAUGCACUGCAGGUUUGACUGCUGUGUUACAUGUAUGUCAAUAGGUGGCAAAUAGGAGAGAGUUCAGAAAAUUGAACAUAAUACUACCUAAGUCCCAUUAAUACCACUCCUGGGCAUACAUC
ensembl:snoRNA Gm24723 predicted gene, 24723